ensembl:lncRNA
CUUGAAGACAGAGUUCCUAGGUUUAGUCAACUUCUGCCUUCCUAUUGGCUUAUUCAUAGCCCAAUACUCAAUAGAACCCGAAUACGUAUUUAUGAAAUGAAUGUUUGGAUGACCAUGGCUCCAUCGCUCUGGUGCCAUGAUCACUCCCCAAGCCCUGAUGUAAUGUGUCACUGUGAAUCUAGAUAAGGUAUGUGAAAGUGACUUUCAACCCCAGAAUUGUCACAUGCUGGUGAGUUGUACUCAUUUGUCAGCUGUGCCAAAGUUUGUUACUAGUAAUGUACCAAGAGUUUGCAGAUGACUUACUAAAAACUAGUGGAUUUACAGUUAUCCUCUCAUAACUUCCAUCAUCGAGUGCAUCCCAUUUCACUCUCUUGAGUUAUGGCUGCCACCUCUGGAAUGUGAAUAACUUCAAAUCACCCAAGGAAGUGUGUCUCCUAAGCUAGGAGGAACUUGAAGGGACAGAAGUGCCCCACAUCCUCUUCGUUACAUAGAGGAGAAAAGCCUGUGAAGAGAAGCUGGGCUGGCUUGGGCUGCAGGAACCCGUCCUGAGCUGGACUCUGUUGCUGUCCCACACAUGGCUAUUUUGAUUUGGCCUGACUCCACAGCACAGUGGAGCCUGGCGAUUCCCAGUGGUGGCGAGUGGCCGGAGGCCAGCAGCCUGGCAUGGAGCCUGUCUGGUCAGGGACACUGGACUGUUUCCCUGUCUUUACCCCUGGCUUUCAGCAAGUCUCCUUCAGAGCUCCAGCUUAGUCUGGGUCAUAUUAUGAGGAAUUGGGAAGGCUCUUUCUCCAUCUCAGAAGGAGCAGCCAACGAGAGAGCCAUGUCCCCUUCUUGGGUCCAGUGUAGGAAGUUCAUUGGCAGUUGCCAGCAGAAGACGGCUGUGUCUGAAGGCUCUGCCGCCUCAUAUUGAUCUUUGGAACAGAGCAGUAGAGACAUGGCUUCUGUGGAGGAGCACAGAACAGAAGGACACAAGGGCCUGUUUUGUUUCUUUCAAUCUUUAACACGGUGGGGCAUUUUCUUGUCUGCCUGUGUGUUUCCUUUCCAUUGGCCAUCCCCAACCCCGACUAGUAUGUAAGUCAAUGAGAGGAGGGACUUCUUCAUCCUUACUCACUGUUGAAUCCUCAGUGCCUAGAAUAGUGUGUGCAUAAUAAAUAUUUGUUGAAUGCAUGAGUAGCAAAGAAAGAAGGGAGGGAGGAAGGAUUGAUCAAUUCCUGUUCAAAUACCAAAUGAGAAAAUCUCAGAAAUAGAUGUUGAUGCCUCACACCAUAAUUUGAACAUAAAACUGAAAGGUGUUGUCUCAAAGAGAUACAGCCAUGUUGACAGCAGCAGUCUUCACACAGCUAAAAGGUGGAAGCCACUCAAGUGUCCAUCGAUGGAUGAAUGGAUGAACACCAUGCAGUAUACACAUACAACGCAAUAUUAUUUAGCCUUAAAAAGAAAGGCAAUUCUGACACAUGCUACAAUGUGGGUGAGCCUUGAGGACACUAUGCGAAGUGAAAUAAGUCAGUCAUAAACAGACAGAUACUGUACGAUCCCACUUAUAUGAGGUACUGAGAGUCAUCAAAUUCAUACAGAAAGCAAAAUGGUAGCUACCUAGGGCUGGGGGAAGAGGGGAAUAGGGAGUCAUUGUUUAACGGGUACAAAGUUUCCCUUUGGGUAGACAAAGAGUUCUGGAAAUGGAUGGUGAUGGUGAUUGCACAACAAUGUGAAUGUCUUUAAUACCAUUGAACUGUACACUGAAAAAU